rnacentral:rRNA from 1 species
CCUACGGGCGGCAGCAGUGGGGAAUAUUGCACAAUGGGGGAAACCCUGAUGCAGCGACGCCGCGUGAGUGAAGAAGUAUUUCGGUAUGUAACGCUCUGUCAGCAGGGGAGAAAAUGACGGUACCUGACCAAGAUGCCCCGGCUAACUACGUGCCAGCAGCCUCGGUAAUACGUAGGGGGCAAGCGUUGUCCGGAUUUACUGGGUGUAAAGGGAGCGUAGACGGCAGGGCAAGUCUGGAGUGAAAGGUGGGGGCUCAACCCCCGGACUGCUCUGGAAACUGCCAGGCUGGAGUGCAGGAGAGGUAAGUGGAAUUCCUAGUGUAGCGGGGAAAUGCGUAGAUAUUAGGAGGAACACCAGUGGCGAAGGCGGCUUACUGGACUGUAACUGACGUUGAGGCUCGAAAGCGUGGGGAGCAAACAGGAUUAGAUACCCCAGUAGUC